rnacentral:rRNA from 1 species
ACAGAGGUCCCAAGCGUUGUUCGGAUUCACUGGGCGUAAAGGGUGCGUAGGUGGUGAGGUAAGUCUAAUGUGAAAUCCCGGAGCUCAACUCCGGAACUGCAUCGGAAACUAUCUCGCUAGAGGGUUGUAGGGGGGACUGGAAUUCUCGGUGUAGCAGUGAAAUGCGUAGAUAUCGAGAGGAACACCAGUGGCGAAGGCGAGUCCCUGGACAACACCUGACACUGAGGCACGAAAGCUAGGGGAGCAAACAG